CCCUUUGUGUGUGAGCCCGGGGACCUGCGACUGCGCUCAGGUAGCUAGGGGUUCGGCAGAAGGAGGGAGAGGGCACGUCUCCGCCGCCGCCGCGUGCUCCACCCUUUCUACAGCUCCCGGCAGUCCCAGGCGCCGCUGCUCGACCUCUGCCUCGCCCCUCGUUCCCGCUUCUUCGCUUCGGACCGUCACCUAGCGAGCUGCUCGGGAUCUAGAGGGCCGCUGGAUCGACAACCCUCAAGGGUAAGGGUGGGUCUCUAUGACAAGCGCUAGAAGCUCGGCCUGCUUCGGGUUAGGCCUCGNNNNNNUCCAGCACACACGCUACACCACCUCAGGCGCUGCCUCCUUAGGAGGCUAGGUGGGUCGAGUGGCUAGAUGCUUGGGAUGUAAGGCCUGCUUGAUCGGCGUCUAGGUCAGCAUGCGAGGCGGAAGUUCGUACGGUACCGAUUUAUGCUCCGUCUUCUUCUAGCAGAUCGACUGGACAAGUGAUACCUAGUGAUGACCAUGGUUGGUAGAAGGACGGACGCGUUCCUGGCAGCAGAGGAAAGGUAGGCACUUGAGCGUUCUCUACGUUAUGAAAGACGACGUUUUAGGCAGUAGAACGAGAGCAGGAAAGAGCUGUUGGUUGGCGACUUAUUUACGACACCGAACACCAAAGUUUCCCUGCCGGUCUCUUUUUGGCGGGAACAAAACUGCAGACGGGUAGAUUAAGCAUUUCUACUAUAGGUGUUCACCUUCGUCGUCACCUGUCCGCUCAUAGUAGUCUUACGCUUCCAGUAACAAGUAAACGACCUAUUGUUUUGAUGUGAUCCGGUCGAGUAGAUAGAAGUUCUCGUGAUACUUAAACGAUAAAUACUUCAAGUUCACCUGUUUGGUCAAGUAGAUGGGUGAAAAUUACUGGCACACGUAAGACCAGUUCUACAAAAGGCGGAACCUUCUCUACGUUUAAACCUAUAUUUCUAUUGUGUACCAUUAAACCGGAAACUGUAAGGUUGAGCCAUACUCUCUACGGUAAUGUACAUAAAAGAAGCACUACGUAGAUCAGAGUUUGACAAUGUACUACUACCUCCCGGGUAGUAACUGAAUCUUCCUUUUCAACACCCAGAUCAAUUGUUAGUUUAGCUACUCUGCAAACAUGGAAGCAGUUAUAACGUAUUCACGAAGCUAAAAACCUCCUCCAAGUUAACGUACGGAGCGGAGGUGGAACCUUACUGUAAAUCAGGUUAGUUCAAAAAUCUAGGAUAAACAUAACUCUCCUACUGAGCAUUCGUAUUGUAGCUGAGACCAGAAUAACAACUCGUCCACAGUUUUCUUAGUGUACGACUCUUUUAACCUUAAGCGUUCCCACUACAGUAACUUUCAAAAUUACCUUUCGUGUAAAGAUGAUGUUAACUCAAUCUUUCGUACAACUAUCUGAAUACAACCCUAGUAAAACUAGUUUCUUUCUUUGACUUAUGACUUUUUCUACAAAGCCACUUUUAUAAACUACGAUGGUUUGAAACAGGUUCUUAAUCUUUGAACUGACGUUAACAUAGCCUAGCACCUCUCCUGUAACAUUUUCCACGAAUGGGAUAGUACCCACUUCUUCGGUACAGUCAGAAUACUAAGAACUAGGAACUCGACCCGGACUCCGUGGACGGGUGACGACCGGAAGUACCUACUCAGUUGGCUUAAUUGGAACGUACGAGUAACGUUUAAGUAAAAACCGUAUUAGAAAAGCAACACAUAAGAACCUUUUUUUUUGAAGUUUAAUACCCACGGAAACCUGGCAUCUUCGUCGAAUUCGAAUUGUACGUACAAUCUCGUCUUGAAUAAUAACCGAGGAUGAAUACAGCUCAGAACACUUUGAGUGUACUACAGACACACGUUCACAUCGUCAGCACCUACUACUUAACUUGACCCGUUAAUACAACCUCUCAUUGCAAACCUGGCAUCUUCGUAUACAUCGAAUCUCGUCUUACAAUAACCGAUCAUUAACAAUCAUGUAACGGUUAAGUAAGGGAAAUGGAACAACACGUCCCAUUUUCCCUUAUUCUUAUGGGUAGUACAUCGUUACAUAUGAAAGUGAGAUAUAACCGUUACAUAUAAAGGUGGGAUCUCAUUUAACGUAAAAUAGAAAUGUUUUCUAAGGUAGAAGUGGGGGAUAGUGAAGUGGUGGAUACGAAAUAUGAGAUAUAACCGUUACAUAUGAAAGUGGGAUGUCAUUCAACGUAAAAUAGAAAAGUUUGGCGAAGGCAACUAGGUAGACCAAGUUUCUAAGCAUCAGACUACCACGUUACGCAAUGGUUAUCCUCUUAGCCGUAACAUCUGCAGUAGCCGCGACUGAGUAGGUACAUACGGUACGGGACACUGUAGUCUAUCCUAUGUGGCAGGCUCGGAGAACUCAUGUAUAUACGGACGCUGAGAGAAAGCGAAGAAGGUCCCGAGUUCAUUAUUCACCGGUAGAGGGCCAGGACUUAUGAAUGGAGUCCAGUUCAACGAAAAGCGUACCCUAGGUCCUCUUGUACUGGUCAAUCACGUUAAAUGACGGUACUAUGAACAACCUUGACACCCUGUCUAAUAAAGACUUGAAUACUCGUCGUCACAAGUAUGAUACUUAUCGAGAUCGGUACAGAGUACAGGUCAAUUGUUUAUU
rnacentral:rRNA from 1 species